GACACAAAUGAAUGUUCCGUUUCGAAUGGAUAUUGUUCCCAUAUUUGCAAGAACACACCAGGCUCGUACCAAUGCAGCUGUCCAUCGGGAUUUCAACUGUUAACAAACAACAAACAAUGUAUCGACAUUGAUGAGUGCCAGUCGGGUACAUCUAGUUGUUCUGAUAUCUGCAUUAACACACCAGGCAGCUUCAGUUGUAAAUGCAAAAACGGAUAUGUGUUGGAUUCAAAUGGAGAGAAGUGCAUAGAUAUCAAUGAUUGCAAAGGCGUUAUUUGUGAAAAUUGAGGAAUAUGUAUUGACAACGUCGGGUCGUAUACGUGUGCAUGUAUGGCUGGUUUUACGGGACAACAUUGUAAUUUAG